CAGUUCGGACUGCAGGCUGCAACUCGCCUGCACGAAGUUGGAAUUGCUAGUAAUCGUGGAUCAGCAUGCCACGGUGAAUACGUUCCCGGGUCUUGUACACACCGCCCGUCACACCAUGGGAGCCGGUAAUACCCGAAGUCAGUAGUCUAACCGCAAAGGAGGACGCUGCCGAAGGUAGGAUUGGCGACUGGGGUGAAGUCGUAACAAGGUACC
rnacentral:rRNA from 1 species